AAGACUUUAAGUUAAAAUAAACUAAAAACCUUCAAAGUUUUAAAUAGAUCAAUUCUAAGUCUUG
rnacentral:tRNA from 1 species